CAAUAGCGUGUAUUAAAGUUGUUGCAGUUAAAAAGCUCGUAGUUGGAUUUGUGGCGUACGACGGGCUCCGGGCACUUGUUGUCUGAGUAGCUUGUCGUUGCCAUCCUUGGGUGGAACCUGUGUGGCAUUAGGUUGUCGUGCAGGGGAUGCCCAUCUUUUACUGUGAAAAAAUUAGAGUGUUCAAAGCAGGCUUAUGCCGUUGAAUAUAUUAGCAUGGAAUAAUAAGAUAGGACUUUGUCGCUAUUUUGUUGGUUUGCGCGAUAAGGUAAUGGUUAAUAGGGACAGUUGGGGGUAUUCGUAUUCCAUUGUCAGAGGUGAAAUUCUUGGAUUUUUGGAAGACGAACUACUGCGAAAGCAUUUACCAAGGAUGUUUUCAUUAA
rnacentral:rRNA from 1 species